AAUAGUCGACUACGCUACUUUAGCGGUAUGUACACACAUUAUCUGGAUUCGCUCAAUUCAGAGCGUAGAAAUGGGAACGCAUGUGCUUCGUUUACGCCAAAAACGUUUUUAGUUAACUUAUUUACAAGUAGAUGAGGUGUAAUUUAACUGUUAUUAGUAGUAAAAACCGCGUUUUACAGUGCUGGAAUAUUUCUUUGAUAUAAAAUUACAAAGUUUACAUUCAUAAAUAGAUCAAAAAGUGCGCCAAGUUUGACGAAAUCACAACUAGAUUUGAACAAUAAAUUUGAGUUUUUUAAUUAAACCUAACAAAAAGGUAAUAUCUCAUUUUGAGUAAUGCAUCAAUGGGCUCAUUUUCAUUUGUAGGUUAUCUUACAUGAUUUCUGCGAAUAUUACCCAUACAUAAAUUCAUAAACAUUUAACAUUUGGUAGUGUAAACUUACGAUGUGAUUUCACAAAAAAA
rnacentral:lncRNA from 1 species